CGACGGCAUCUCCUCCACGCCUCUUCAGUUGUUGGCACGAGCGUGGGCUCGUCCGACUUUGGUUUCCUGUGUUGAAUACCUAUCGAGAUGGCAUUGAGUCGGCUAUGUCCGUUCUUAUCCCGCCUUGUGUGGCUGCUCCACCUGGGGCGGCGGCAUCGGGAGGGCCAGGUCGCGCACGCUGCGUGUCGCACCGCGUUCGCUAUUACUGGCGUUUGGGUCGACGACCAGCAGCGUUGUGCUCGAUCUCUCGGGUACGGUUCAUGAUGUGGAUACGAGGCCGACGGCCUCCGAGYUCCACAAACAAGCGUUCUACGCUUCGUGCGAACGACUGUUGGUUUGGUGUUUGGCCGUGCUCCCGUGGCUCGGUUCAAGCCGUGCCG
rnacentral:misc_RNA from 1 species